GACGAACGCUGGCGGCGUGCUUAACACAUGCAAGUCGAGCGGUAAGGCCCUUUCGGGGGUACACGAGCGGCGAACGGGUGAGUAACACGUGGGUGACCUGCCCUCAGCUCUGGGAUAAGCCCGGGAAACUGGGUCUAAUACCGGAUAUGACUCCAUGACGCAUGUUGUGGGGUGGAAAGCCUUGUGCGGCUGAGGAUGGGCCCGCGGCCUAUCAGCUUGUUGGUGGGGUGANGGCCUACCAAGGCGACGACGGGUAGCCGGCCUGAGAGGGCGACCGGCCACACUGGGACUGAGACACGGCCCAGACUCC
rnacentral:rRNA from 1 species